AGAAGAGAAGGAAAAAUAUACUGCCUUGUUAACUUUCCUGUUUAGUUGGGUUUAGAUAGAGGAAUUUGUUUCACCUUUUAUCACCACCACUUGACAUGAAGACUGGUUUUUCAAUGUUGUGCAUUUUUUCUGUACUUGGGAUUUUUUUUUUUCCCCUAAUGGAAUAUUUAGGAAUAAUAAAGAUACUAUGAUUUUUAACUCAAGAGAACAAUAUACUAACAAUUCCUGUAGUAGAACAGUAAUGUUAAAGGAUUGUUAAAUG
rnacentral:lncRNA from 1 species